AGAUGUUGCCAGGGGUGUUCCAAACGGAUCUGAGAAUAUACCCAAAUCACUUGAUGCGGAUAAUGCCGACGUAAGAAAAUUGUGAAAAGCAAUAAUG
rnacentral:ncRNA from 1 species